AUUGAACGCUGGCGGCAGGCCUAACACAUGCAAGUCGAGCGGAGCGGCGGAAGGGUGCGUAAUGCCUAGGAAUCUGCCAGGGAGUGGGGGAUAACGUCCAGAAAUGGGAGCUAAUAUAACAAACUCUCAGAUGAGCCUAGGUCGGUUUAGCUUGUGGGUGGGGUAAAGGCCGACCAAGGCGACGAUCCGUAACGGGUCUGAGAGGAUGAUCAGUCACACUGGAACUGAGACACGGUCCAGACUCCUACGGGAGGCAGCAGUGGGGAAUAUGGGACAAUGGGCGAAAUCCUGAUCCAGCCAUGCCGCGUGUGUGAAGAAGGUCUUCGGAUUGUAAAGCCCUUUAAGUUGGGAGGCGUUACCAACAGAAUAAGCACCGGCUAACUUCGUGCCAGCAGCCGCGGUAAUAC
rnacentral:rRNA from 1 species